rfam:Rhodobacteraceae bacterium HTCC2083 scf_1106200183017 genomic scaffold, whole genome shotgun sequence.
GCUAAGGGGCUCGCGAACACCCCGUGAGGCUUCGGCCAAAGUUUCGCGUCCUGAAUUAACACCCAAACCAUGGGAGGACGCGACAUG